UAACCUCAUAAAACUUCCGCCUCCGAAAAAACCCUAAGGUUAAGAUCAAAUCUUCUGUUAUGGGAUUGCAUCAUUGAAUCUGUAAUGAUAAUACAAAGGCUAAGAUUGUGAUUUCUUUUUCAUUUUCACUGUAUUUAGUCAAUUCUCUUUACAUGAAACCGAGAUUUGUUUUUCAUUUUUGUAUAUUCUGAUUAGAUUUGUUGAAAACCCAGACUGGAUUUGGGGUUUUUAGUUAGAUUCAUGAAAAUUGUUUUGCCCAAUUUUGAAUCUCGUGUUUUGGUUUUGUUCAAUUUUUAGAUUUGUUGUUUGGGUUUAGGUAUGAAAAGCCAGUGAUGUAUGGAUAAUAUUUGCUACUCUUGAUGGGGGUGAAAGCCCCCUUUUUUGAUUUAAUGAUUUUUCAUAUCAUCCCUAACCCUUUUUUUUUUAUUUAAUGAUUUUUUUUUUUAGCUCUGUUUUGGGUAGAACUAAUUUCUAAGUUGAUUUGCCUUAUUUAUUCUAUACUUCUGGACAACAGUAUACUCCAGUGAUAGAUAUUAGGAGUAUCGGCUGCAUAUUUGCUUAAGUAUUAACAGGGAAACCUCUGUUUCCUGGUAAAAAUGUUGUUCACCAGUUGGAUUUGAUGAUUGACCUGCUUGGUACGCCCUCGUUGGAUACUAUUUCUCAGGUUUGUGUUCUAUGUGUACGUCCGCAAUGACAAGGCCAGGAAAUACCUUACCAGCAUGAGGAAGAAGCAGCCGGUGUCACUCGCGCAGAAGCUCCCAAAUGCUGAUCCUUUUGCUGUCAAACUUUUAGAAAGGCUCUUAGCGUUUGAUCCAAAGGAUAGACCAACUGCAGAAGACGUAAACAUGAUUCUUUUUGCACUUUUAGUCUCAAAAAUCUCAUAGAGAUAAUUAUCCAGUUCUUAAAUUUAAGCUUACUUUUAAUGACAUCUGGAUUUUGCUGGCUAGCUUUGUUGGUGAUGCCCCAAAAUCUCAUAUCUUAUUGUUUUGUUUCUUGUAAAUUGUCUGAAUACCAUGUUUUGGCCAGGCAUUGGCUGAUCCAUACUUUAAAAGCUUGUCAAGGGCAGAGAGGGAACCACUUUGCCAUCCAAUCACCAAGCUAGAGUGAGUUUAAGAGGUAUUGCCUUUCUAUUGAAGGGCGAGUAUGACAUUAUAAGUCGGAAAGGGAAUUGUGUUAGGAUUUCAUUGAAAGGUGAGUAUGACAUUGUUAGGAUUUCAUCCUUCAUACACUUCAGUUGCAGGUAAUGAAGUGUUUUCCAUUCUAUAUAUUUCCCAUUUGCUUUCAAUUCUAAUGUCUCCCCAUGCAGGUAGUCAUGUUACAUUUGUAAUUAAAAUCUGAUGCCUGUGUGAAAUGUGUGAAUUCAAGCAUGGAUGAAUUGUACUGUCUAAGCUGGAACAUGCGUUCUUACUUGUGCACUUUGAUUGUUUUAGAAGUUCAUAACUGUCCUUGUUUAUAUAUCUCUAAAUAUCUGUUGACUGUGGAUUGUUGCAGGCCCUUUUGGCCGAGGACAGAUGCAGAAGCCUUUUGAAGAGUCAACUUUUGCUCCGAAUAGAUUGUUUUUGUGCAGUCUUUGUUUUCAAUAGAUUGUUUUUCAUGUUUUUGAUAGAGUUGGGGGAAAACCAUGGAAUACCAUAAUCCUGGUCAAGGAUCAUGCCUGCUCGCUUCAAGGUUAAAAAAGUUCAACUCCAUGGUGAUGAAUUGGCCACUGUAGAAGUUUUGGAUCCUGACUUUGGAGAGGCGGCAAUUGGACGGGCUGCACCAGUUGAUACAGAUAGAGAUGCAGUUCUUUGAUUCUGGCAGUUCAUCGGCAUCUUCUCUAAUAUCAUGUACCGACAGCGUAUGCAGCUCUGUUCAAACUGCUGAGGCUGGUUGUUCUGAAAAUUCUCAGUGUAGUUACCAAUUCAAGUAUCUAGAUGGUACUGGGAAAGCAGGGUUUUAUGUGUUAGACAUGUUGGAUUUUGGCACAGUUACUGGCAAUUCUCUGAUGUCUAACUCUUCAGCUCCCGUUGUUUUAUGGUUAGACCAGUCCCAUCUGAAUGAGCAAUUGAAAUAUAUUGUCUUAAAGAAUUUGAGAAGGGAAUGAAUCAGUUUCGGGUAUGGCUGAAUUUGAGAAGGAAUUUGAUGAAUGUUAGGAGCUAUAAUAUGCAGUCUGUGAAUGGUUUUACAGAGAAGCUGUAAUAUUGGAAGCUCCGGGAUUCAGGGUUUUAGUUGUAAGAAUGUCAUUGCAGGGAAAUGGUUGCUGCUGCAGCUGAACUGAAGGUGCCGUGUAAUUCAAGUUGCAGGUAGUUUUUGUGGUUCUCUGUGAGUUGUUGCCAUGGACUAGGUGGUUGGAAUCUACAGAAGAUGACAUUGCAGUAGUGCAGGUUAUGUUGCUGGUGUGCAAAUGCUUUGUGCUGAGUUGCUCGAGUUUGAGUUCAAGAUGCAGGGAUUUGGAGAAUAAAGCUGUUAAAGUUGAUUACAAGGUAACUGUGGUGAUUACAAGCUGAUGAUUGCAGUUGUUGUACGGAAGCUACAGAUGGUAGUGAUGCUGUCUGAGGUGGUGGUGCAAUAGAAUGGAAGAAUUGGUGUUGAGAUGCAAGCAAUGGUACAUGGUGCUAGAGCUGCAGUUGGAAAUGGAAGUGUUAAAUGGUGACACUGAAUGUAAUGGCCUGAGCUGUUGAAAUUAAAGCUGAAAUGUAUGCUUAGGUGAAUGAAUGUAAAUGUCUUACACUGGCAGGUUAAUGUGAAUGGGAAAUACUUUCGGCAAUUCAGUUUUAGCCCUAAUUUUUUCUUUCAAAAUAUUUUUAUGCACACAACUC